rnacentral:rRNA from 1 species
CAGCCGCCACGGUAAUACAGAGGGUGCGAGCGUUAAUCGGAUUUACUGGGCGUAAAGCGUGCGUAGGCGGCUUUUUAAGUCGGAUGUGAAAUCCCUGAGCUUAACUUAGGAAUUGCAUUCGAUACUGGGAAGCUAGAGUAUGGGAGAGGAUGGUAGAAUUCCAGGUGUAGCGGUGAAAUGCGUAGAGAUCUGGAGGAAUACCGAUGGCGAAGGCAGCCAUCUGGCCUAAUACUGACGCUGAGGUACGAAAGCAUGGGGAGCAAACAGGAUUAGAGACCCGCGUAGUCCCUGUCUCUUAUAC